rfam:Postia placenta Mad-698-R POSPLscaffold_11_Cont942, whole genome shotgun sequence.
GGUUCAGUGGUGUAGUUGGUUAUCACAUCUGUCUCACAUUUGAGUGCCCACAGGUGGUCUCCGGUUCGAACCCGGGCUGAACCA